AACGAACGCUGGCGGCAUGCCUAACACAUGCAAGUCGAACGAGACCUUCGGGUCUAGUGGCGCACGGGUGCGUAACGCGUGGGAACCUGCCUUUAGGUUCGGAAUAACUCAGAGAAAUUUGAGCUAAUACCGGAUGAUGUCUUCUGACCAAAGAUUUAUCGCCUUUAGAUGGGCCCGCGUUGAAUUAGCUAGUUGGUAGGGUAAUGGCAUACCAAGGCGACGAUCCAUAGCUGGUCUGAGAGGAUGAUCAGCCACACUGGGACUGAGACACGGCCCAGACUCCUACGGGAGGCAGCAGUGGGGAAUAUUGGACAAUGGGCGAAAGCCUGAUCCAGCAAUGCCGCGUGAGUGAUGAAGGCCUUAGGGUUGUAAAGCUCUUUUACCCGAGAUGAUAAUGACAGUAUCGGGAGAAUAAGCUCCGGCUAACUCCGUG
rnacentral:rRNA from 1 species